CGGCUGUAGCUAGAUGAAUUCAGAAGCUAUCUGGCCGGUGGUCGCGAGAGAGGUUUAGAUCUCUCCGGUCGAUUCAUCUGCUUACCGAGUUUCUUACAUCU
rfam:Capsella rubella cultivar Monte Gargano unplaced genomic scaffold scaffold_7, whole genome shotgun sequence.